ACAAUUAAAAUCUGUGAAAUAUAUCACCAUCGGAGGCUAUAGAAGCCAAUAAAGUGAAUAAAUUAAAUCGCGGAAAACCCUAGCCUUGAAUAAGGCGAUUUCUGAGGCCGAAUAAUAAUACAAAAACAACAAAACAAAAAAAAAAAAUAAUAUAACCGACCGCUCCAAUCUCAACACCUUUCCCCACACCUGGAUCAGUGCCGGUUCACCCACUCCACCCAUCAAGACCCCAGGUCUCCGCCAAUUAUUAG